GUUAAUUAUACGGUCGCGGGCCGCUUUUGCGGCGUGAGGAAAGUCCGAGCAUCGCAGGGCAAGGAUGCCUGCUAACGGCAGGAGGAGGCGACUUCAAGGAAAGUGAACAGAAAUACACCGCGGCAGUUUUGCCGUAAGGGUGGAAUGGCGAGGUAAGAGCUCACCGUCGCUCCGGUAACGGGGCGAGCCAAUUAAACCCCAUCCGAUGCAAGAUUGGGACAGGGACUGCGUUUGAUCGCAUGGGCUGCCCGUCCGUCUCUGUCCGUAAAUAUCGCUUUAGCUUGUCGGCGACGACAAGCAUAGAUAGAUGACCGUACACGACAGAACUCGGCUUACAGAUUA
rnacentral:RNase_P_RNA from 1 species